rnacentral:lncRNA from 1 species
ACAGAAUAACCUAAACACAUAACACAUAACCCUAUCAGUCUAUACAGCACAUAAGACUUAAUAUCAGGUCAAACUAUUUCAGUCUGACUUAAAACUGACACCAUUCUAUCAUCCCGACGGUCUAGUCGGACAAUACUCAAGUUUAAGUUCAAUUAAACUCUUCCUGAACACUUAACAAUUAUCUCAGAUAAUUUCUUAUCAGUCAAAACAUUUUUCCUAGGCUCGUAAUAAUUUUCGGAUAAUUAUUACCAUUUAUCAUGAUUUUCC